AGGGAAUCUUCCGCAAUGGACGAAAGUCUGACGGAGCAACGCCGCGUGAGUGAUGAAGGUCUUCGGAUUGUAAAACUCUGUUGUUAGGGAAGAACAAGUACAAUAGUAACUGAUUGUACCUUGACGGUACCUAACCAGAAAGCCCCGGCUAACUACGUGCCAGCAGCCGCGGUAAUACGUAGGGGGCAAGCGUUGUCCGGAAUUAUUGGGCGUAAAGCGCGCGCAGGCGGUCCUUUAAGUCUGAUGUGAAAGCCCACGGCUUAACCGUGGAGGGUCAUUGGAAACUGGAGGACUUGAGUGCAGAAGAGGAGAGUGGAAUUCCACGUGUAGCGGUGAAAUGCGUAGAGAUGUGGAGGAACACCAGUGGCGAAGGCGACUCUCUGGUCUGUAACUGACGCUGAGGCGCGAAAGCGUGGGGAGCGAAC
rnacentral:rRNA from 1 species